CUGUCUCUACUGACAAUAGGCAUUUUUGCUUACUAUUGACAGUUUGCAUAUGUGUUUCCACAUGUGCUUUCCUGAUUUUUCAGAUUAAUUCUAUCAAUGGCUUAAAAUCCUGCUGUGGUUCUCCUGAACUAUUCUGUCUUUCCCUGAGGACUCUGGUUCCUUCCUGUAUGGUCUGCUGUCUUUUGCUGUUUUACCUCUUUGCAUUGUAUGUCUGAAA